GCCAUGGGACAAAGGGGCGGAUACUUUUACCACCUACAUUGGCGGAUAGAGGUGGGCACAGCGUAAACCUGGCCACAUAACAGUGUAAACCUGGCCGCAUAACAGCGUCACGGGAACUUCUGCCAGCGAAUGGGCAAUUCUAACUCACUGUUCAGCUAAUGGUACAGGAACACCACAGAACCGGAGUCCAGAGAUCAUCAACAUCUUGUCAAACAGAAAGUUCCCAGCCACAGCCAAGAGGGAUACAUGUCUCCAGAGCAAACGGAUGACAGACAGCAUCCCACCAUGCCUGUCUACCUCAGAAGACUCCCCCAAGAGCUGGAAGCAGUUUUUGAGAGGAACGACGUCCCUAUUCCCAUAUACCUGCUUUUUUUUUAAUAAUAAGCAAAAGUCUGGGAUAUAAGGAUGACUGUA